rnacentral:rRNA from 1 species
AGGACGAACGCUGGCGGCGUGCGUAACACAUGCAAGUCGAACGAGUGUAGCAAUACACGAGUGGCGGACGGGUGAGGAACACGUGGCUACCAACCUGGCACUGGGGAAUACCCGUGAGAAAUCAUGGUUAAUACCGCAUACGCCCGCAAGGGGAAAGUCGCAAGACGGUGCGAGACGGGGCUGCGCCCGAUUAGCUAGUUGGUGGGGUAAUGGCCUACCAAGGCGUCGAUCGGUAAC